GACGAACGCUGGCGGCGUGCUUAACACAUGCAAGUCGAACGGAAAGGCCCUGCUUUUGUGGGGUGCUCGAGUGGCGAACGGGUGAGUAACGCGUGAGUAACCUGCCCUUGACUUUGGGAUAACUUCGGGAAACUGGGGCUAAUACCGGAUAGGAGCUCCUGCUGCAUGGUGGGGGUUGGAAAGUUUCGGCGGUUGGGGAUGGACUCGCGGCUUAUCAGCUUGUUGGUGGGGUAGUGGCUUACCAAGGCUUUGACGGGUAGCCGGCCUGAGAGGGUGACCGGCCACAUUGGGACUGAGAUACGGCCCAGACUCCUACGGGAGGCAGCAGUGGGGAAUAUUGCACAAUGGGCGGAAGCCUGAUGCAGCAACGCCGCGUGCGGGAUGACGGCCUUCGGGUUGUAAACCGCUUUCGCCUGUGACGAAGCGUGAGUGACGGUAAUGGGUAAAGAAGCACCGGCUAACUACGUG
rnacentral:rRNA from 1 species